UGCGAACUAUGAACGUUAUGCAGAUAUAAUGUGUAAUUAUGGUUUCUCUGCAUUUGGAUCUUGGAAUUCUGUGUAAAGCAAAUACCCCAGCACCGUUUUUUCUUCUCAGGGAAUCAUUGUGCUCUGUUUUAACGUGUGACGGAGCAAACUGAGAAUUUCAUAUCACCAUUUUGGGAAGAUCGGUAAAUAACCUCUGUGUAUAAGCUGAACUAACCAGCCAGAAACCACUGUGGUCCUAUCUCAGUUGACCUUCAUUAAACAUACCUGCUCAUCAGUGCAGAUGUGGGCAAAUGAAUAGACUUCAUUUGAAUGGGCUUCAGCGUGUCCAGAACUAUCCUACUGCCCUUCUGCAGAGGACAUAAGCCUCUCGCCCGUGUCAAACACACGCGACUCGCCAGGACCCGCGGGGGAGAAGAUUUUAGUAAGAAAAUUGCCUACCGAACAAGGUAUGUCAAAACUUUCCAGUCUUUGCUCCUUUGCCCCAACUCCCAUCAUUCAAGCCCAAUUACCUUUCGUCAUGAAUAAUAGAAAACAAAAUCAGAGGGGAGGCAAAGGAGAAGAAAUCUAGUUGUAACUUGUAUUUCCUCUGGACUUUUAAAUCUACUCUACUAGAUGAGAACCAGGGAGAUAAGGGGAUUUAGAAAGAUAAAAAUCUACCAGAAGUGCGAGGUUCUGAAAUUGCACAUCAUCUUUGGAAAAUGGCCACAUGUCAUGGGUAGCGAUCCUAUACACAAAUGAGGAAAAGACGAAAGGGAAAAUGAAAUAAUGGAAAGUUUUUGCAUAUGAAAAAAAGGAAAUUCUUUUUCAUAUGUCGUGUGCUAACACUUCUAGGCCCCCCCUCCCCGCUCCCCAUGUUUUGAGGAGUAUCGAAAAAAUAACUUGGUAAAAUCCCAAACAGAAAACAGAAUGAAGAUGGUUGAAGUAGACUGUAACUAGUAAUUUUCCUUGAAACAGUGAAAUACUGUUGAAACGAAUAGACCGUGACAUGGUAAGCAAAUAGGGCAUAUUGCUAGCAUGUCCCUCCCGAAGACCAUAAAGUAAUGGUCUAGAGUUCAAAUCGAUUUUAAGAAAAAAUCAGUUGUGUCAGAAAUGUUUCAUUAAUGGGUUUACUUGUCACACUGGCAAUGUUUUACAAUCUUCCGUUGAUAUCAGAUCCAGUAUUUAGUGUAGCUUUCCAAAAAUGUACAUGGUAGACCGAUUGAGUAAAAUAUUGAGGGAUGAGGUCCAGGCACAUGAGUUUGAAAAGACAAAAUCCUCAGGUAUUUCUAAUGUGGAUCAAAAGUUGAAAACCAGCGAGAGAGUGACUUGGCCCAUGGCCAAUGGAAGGGAUUUAAAUAAUACAUAAUGUGUGAUUUCUUGAAUACAGAGUUGACAUCCCACAUUACUUUUCCUUGUAAUGGGAACGAAUCCGUGUCGUUCACCUGGGUCCCCUUUGCGGCAUGGCCUUUGCUAGAGGUGGCAGAACUGGGAAAGGAGAAACUAGUUGUCUUCUAACUGUAGGUCAGGUACCUUCUAGUAGCACAAA
rnacentral:lncRNA from 1 species